rnacentral:rRNA from 1 species
GAUGAACGCUGGCGGCGUGCCUAAUACAUGCAAGUCGAGCGAACAGACGAGGAGCUUGCUCCUCUGACGUUAGCGGCGGACGGGUGAGAACACGUGGAUAACCUACCUAUAAGACUGGGAUAACUUCGGGAAACCGGAGCUAAUACCGGAUAAUAUAUUGAACCGCAUGGUUCAAUAGUGAAAGACGGUUUUGCUGUCACUUAUAGAUGGAUCCGCGCCGCAUUAGCUAGUUGGUAAGGUAACGGCUUACCAAGGCAACGAUGCGUAGCCGACCUGAGAGGGUGAUCGGCCACACUGGAACUGAGACACGGUCCAGACUCCUACGGGAGGCAGCAGUAGGGAAUCUUCCGCAAUGGGCGAAAGCCUGACGGAGCAACGCCGCGUGAGUGAUGAAGGUCUUCGGAUCGUAAAACUCUGUUAUUAGGGAAGAACAAAUGUGUAAGUAACUAUGCACGUCUUGACGGUACCUAAUCAGAAAGCCACGGCUAACUACGUG